GACGGGGACCCGCACAAGCGGUGGAUGAUGUGGAUUAAUUCGAUGCAACGCGAAGAACCUUACCUACCCUUGACAUGUCCGGAACUUGCCAGAGAUGGCUUGGUGCCGAAAGGGAAUCGGAACACAGGUGCUGCAUGGCUGUCGUCAGCUCGUGUCGUGAGAUGUUGGGUUAAGUCCCGCAACGAGCGCAACCCUUAUCAUUAGUUGCUACGCAAGGGCACUCUAAUGAGACUGCCGGUGACAAACCGGAGGAAGGUGGGGAUGACGUCAAGUCCUCAUGGCCCUUAUGGGUAGGGCUUCACACGUCAUACAAUGGUCGGUACAGAGGGUUGCCAAGCCGCGAGGCGGAGCCAAUCCCACAAAGCCGAUCGUAGUCCGGAUUGUUCUCUGCAACUCGAGAGCAUGAAGUCGGAAUCGCUAGUAAUCGCAGGUCAGCAUACUGCGGUGAAUACGUUCCCGGGUCUU
rnacentral:rRNA from 1 species